AAGAACUUGAGUUUAAGGCUUAGAUUACUGUGCAAACUCUGAACCUUGUCAGACUGCAGAUAGGGAGACCCUGGGGAACUGAAUGAAGAAGAAUGAAAAUAACGAAGAAUGAAAAUGAAGGAAAUGAAAGGCUCAACCCCAAGAGGAUGCUGGGAAAAGGCAAGUUUGGAGAUGGGAGUGGUUCUCAGUCAUCUUCAGUGAUGGACCUGCGCCAGAGAGUUUUGACAGGAGAACACAAACCAUGAGUUGUGAAUAGAAAACAGAAGAGAACUGGACAGUCUGAGCAGAGUCUCCCCAAAAGCAUAAAUUUGCAGAGAGUAUUUGGCAUCUCUUUGGAAGGAAUGAUGCUAAAGAUGAAACUCCAGUACUUUGGCCACCUCAUGCGAAGAGUUGACUCAUUGGAAGACUCUGAUGCUGGGAGGGAUCGGGUGCAGGAG